rnacentral:rRNA from 1 species
AGUGAACGCUGGCGGAAGGCCUAACACAUGCAAGUCGAACGGCAGCACAGUAAGAGCUUGCUCUUACGGGUGGCGAGUGGCGGACGGGUGAGGAAUACAUCGGAAUCUACUUUUUCGUGGGGGAUAACGUAGGGAAACUUACGCUAAUACCGCAUACGACCUACGGGUGAAAGCAGGGGAUCUUCGGACCUUGCGCGAUUGAAUGAGCCGAUGUCGGAUUAGCUAGUUGGCGGGGUAAAGGCCCACCAAGGCGACGAUCCGUAGCUGGUCUGAGAGGAUGAUCAGCCACACUGGAACUGAGACACGGUCCAGACUCCUACGGGAGGCAGCAGUGGGGAAUAUUGGACAAUGGGCGCAAGCCUGAUCCAGCCAUACCGCGUGGGUGAAGAAGGCCUUCGGGUUGUAAAGCCCUUUUGUUGGGAAAGAAAAGCAGCAGGUUAAUACCCCGCUGUUCUGACGGUACCCAAAGAAUAAGCACCGGCUAACUCCGUG